UGGGGAAUAUUGCACAAUUUGCGCAAGCCUGAUGCAGCCAUGCCGCGUGUAUGAAGAAGGCCUUCGGGUUGUAAAGUACUUUCAGUCGGGAGGAAGGUGGUAAGGUUAAUAACCUUAUCAAUUGACGUUACCGACAGAAGAAGCACCGGCUAACUCCGUGCCAGCAGCCGCGGUAAUACGGAGGGUGCAAGCGUUAAUCGGAAUUACUGGGCGUAAAGCGCACGCAGGCGGUUGAUUGAGUCAGAUGUGAAAUCCCCGGGCUUAACCCGGGAAUUGCAUCUGAUACUGGUCAGCUAGAGUCUUGUAGAGGGGGGUAGAAUUCCAUGUGUAGCGGUGAAAUGCGUAGAGAUGUGGAGGAAUACCGGUGGCGAAGGCGGCCCCCUGGACAAAGACUGACGCUCAGGUGCGAAAGCGUGGGGAGCAAACAGG
rnacentral:rRNA from 1 species